rnacentral:rRNA from 1 species
GACAGAGGGUGCAAACGUUGUUCGGAAUUACUGGGCGUAAAGCGCGCGCAGGCGGUUUCUCAAGUCAGUGGUGAAAGCCCGGAGCUCAACUCCGGAACUGCCAUUGAAACUGUGAGACUUGAGGACGAGAGAGGUGAGUGGAAUUCCCAGUGUAGAGGUGAAAUUCGUAGAUAUUGGGAAGAACACCGGUGGCGAAGGCGGCUCACUGGCUCGUUUCUGACGCUCAGGCGCGAAAGCGUGGGGAUCAAACAGG